rnacentral:lncRNA from 1 species
UGCUGACAAAUCCUAACACGUCCUAUUGCCUAAAUCUGAGGAAGAGCUUGAGUCACUGGCCUAGGUCUCUUGUUCUACUAAAUAGGUGCCGUGGGUGCUGGUCUGCAAUGUGAAACCAAGGGCCUGAGGUUCCCUACUGCUGAAAAAAAAAUGCAAAGGUUACUCUCCAUUAACUGCACCUUGGCCAGAACGGCCGAGUAAGUACUAAGCUCGAACACAUAUAGCUGCUGUCUAAUCUCAAGACGGAGGCCCCACUCGAACUUCAUUACCUUUAUACCCUCAUCCAUCAUGCUUUUAGGGAAAUACUGAUCCAACUUUAGGAACUUUUUGACGUACUUUGACACAAUCAUAUCACCUUGGACCAAGUGUGCAAACUCC